UCUAGCCUACGGGACGCAGCAGUGAGGAAUAUUGGUCAAUGGCCGAGAGCCUGAACCAGCCAAGUCGCGUGAGGGAUGACGGCCCUACGGGUUGUAAACCUCUUUUGUCGGGGAGCAAGACCCGCCACGAGUGGCGGGGCGAGAGUACCCGAAGAAAAAGCAUCGGCUAACUCCGUGCCAGCAGCCGCGGUAAUACGGAGGAUGCGAGCGUUAUCCGGAUUUAUUGGGUUUAAAGGGUGCGCAGGCGGCGAGUUAAGUCAGCGGUAAAAUUUCGGGGCUCAACCCCG
rnacentral:rRNA from 1 species